CAACUCAACUAAGCCUUUAUUCUAAAAAUUUAUUGGAAUCGGCUAUGAGCAAAUUGGUUCUCAAUUAAUAUUAAUACAUAUCAAUUAUGAGUGACCACGAUGGACUAAUCCCGAAAACAAAACACCAUCAAAUGAAAGCUCUUCCACAAUGUUUUCAAUAAAAAAUAUUGUAUAGCAUACAAAUACCUUUUUAUCUUCUUUUGCUUG
rnacentral:misc_RNA from 1 species